AUUGAACGCUGGCGGCAUGCCUUACACAUGCAAGUCGAACGGUAACAGCACUUCGGUGGCUGACGAGUGGCGAACGGGUGAGUAAUACAUCGGAACGUGCCCGAGAGUGGGGGAUAACGCAGCGAAAGCUGUGCUAAUACCGCAUACGAUCUACGGAUGAAAGCAGGGGACCGCAAGGCCUUGCGCUCAUGGAGCGGCCGAUGGCAGAUUAGGUAGUUGGUGGGAUAAAAGCUUACCAAGCCGACGAUCUGUAGCCGGUCUGAGAGGACGACCAGCCACACUGGGACUGAGACACGGCCCAGACUCCUACGGGAGGCAGCAGUGGGGAAUUUUGGACAAUGGGCGAAAGCCUGAUCCAGCCAUGCCGCGUGCAGGAUGAAGGCCUUCGGGUUGUAAACUGCUUUUGUACGGAACGAAAAGGUCUUUUCUAAUAAAGAAGGCUCAUGACGGUACCGUAAGAAUAAGCACCGGCUAACUACGUGCCAGCAGCCGCGGUAAUACGUAGGGUGCAAGCGUUAAUCGGAAUUACUGGGCGUAAAGCGUGCGCAGGCGGUUAUAUAAGACAGAUGUGAAAUCCCCGGGCUCAACCUGGGAACUGCAUUAGUGACUGUAUAGCUAGAGUGCGGCAGAGGGGGAUGGAAUUCCGCGUGUAGCAGUGAAAUGCGUAGAUAUGCGGAGGAACACCGAUGGCGAAGGCAAUCCCCUGGGCCUGCACUGACGCUCAUGCACGAAAGCGUGGGGAGCAAACAGGAUUAGAUACCCUGGUAGUCCACGCCCUAAACGAUGUCAACUGGUUGUUGGGAAUUUACUUUCUCAGUAACGAAGCUAACGCGUGAAGUUGACCGCCUGGGGAGUACGGCCGCAAGGUUAAAACUCAAAGGAAUUGACGGGGACCCGCACAAGCGGUGGAUGAUGUGGUUUAAUUCGAUGCAACGCGAAAAACCUUACCCACCUUUGACAUGUAUGGAAGAUCGCAGAGACGCGAUUGUGCUCGAAAGAGAGCCAUAACACAGGUGCUGCAUGGCUGUCGUCAGCUCGUGUCGUGAGAUG
rnacentral:rRNA from 1 species